GAAUGCGGUUGGCAGCCUGUUUCUUUGACGGAUUUAAUUACUGGUGCUUCUGUGAAAAAGGUAUAUAGAAAAGCAACAUUGUGUAUCCAUCCUGAUAAAGUGCAGCAGAAAGGCGCCACCCUUCAACAGAAAUAUGUUGCUGAGAAGGUGUUUGACAUGCUCAAGGAAGCAUGGAACAAAUUCAAUUCAGAGGAACUUUUCUAGAUGCUGCGUCCAUUCAUUAGCUUUGAUCUACCUUCAGACUUUUUGAUAGAAGAGGUAGCAACAGUUCCAAAGCAAUGCUCGUGCUGACUCUGCAUGAUAAUCUUCUUUCAUAAUGUGGCAUGCUGGACUGGUAAAAUGGGCCUUUGUAGCAGUGAUGGUCAAGUGCAAUAUAUUACUCUGUUGCUGUAAAUUAACGUCAGUGCCCGAAGACAUUGGUGGUGCAUGGCUCUUGAUUUGACUGGUUUCUGGGAAAAAUGUCAGGCAUUUUUCAUUAUGUGCAGCACGAAAGGAGCAUUGUAUGAUUGAGUUGUGAAGUUAUACAAAAUGUAUUUUCCCUAUUCAUUUAUGUCUAAAGUCUUCUGUUUCUGCAUGAGAAGAAUAUUUUUUAAACUGAUGUUGUAUUGAGUAAAUCAGAAUGAUAUUUUUGCACGAUGUGAAAAGGUGAAUUUUAU
rnacentral:misc_RNA from 1 species